GCAGUCGAACGAUGAAGACCGUGCUUGCACGGUUGGAUUAGUGGCGAACGGGUGAGUAUCACGUGAGUAACCUUCCCUUAACUCUGGGAUAAGCCCGGGAAACUGGGUCUAAUACCGGAUACGACCAGUCCUCGCAUGGGGUGCUGGUGGAAAGAUUUAUCGGUUUUGGAUGGACUCGCGGCCUAUCAGCUUGUUGGUGAGGUAAUGGCUCACCAAGGCGAUGACGGGUAGCCGGCCUGAGAGGGUGACCGGCCACACUGGGACUGAGACACGGCCCASACUCCUACGGGAGGCAGCAGUGGGGAAUAUUGCACAAUGGGCGAAAGCCUGAUGCAGCGACGCCGCGUGCGGGAUGACGGCCUUCGGGUUGUAAACCGCUUUCAGCAGGGAAGAAGCGAAAGUGACGGUACCUGCAGAAGAAGCGCCGGCUAACUACGUGCCAGCAGCCGCGGUAAUACGUAGGGCGCGAGCGUUAUCCGGAAUUAUUGGGCGUAAAGAGCUCGUAGGCGGUUUGUCRCGUCUGCUGUGAAAGCCCGGGGCUCAACCCCGGGUGUGCAGUGGGUACGGGCAGACUAKAGUGCAGUAGGGGAGACUGGAAUUCCUGGUGUAGCGGUGAAAUGCGCARAURUCASGAGGAACACCGAUGGCGAAGGCAGGUCUCUGGGCUGUUACUGACGCUGAGGAGCGAAAGCAUGGGGAGCGAACAGGAUUAGAUACCCUGGUAGUCCAUGCCGUAAACGUUGGGCACUAGGUGUGGGGGACAUUCCACGUUUUCCGCGCCGUAGCUAACGCAUUAAGUGCCCCGCCUGGGGAGUACGGCCGCAAGGCUAAAACUCAAAGGAAUUGACGGGGGCCCGCACAAGCGGCGGAGCAUGCGGAUUAAUUCGAUGCAACGCGAAGAACCUUACCAAGGCUUGACAUGGACCGGAUCGCUGCAGAGAUGCAGUUUCCCUUCGGGGUCGGUUCACAGGUGGUGCAUGGUUGUCGUCAGCUCGUGUCGUGAGAUGUUGGGUUAAGUCCCGCAACGAGCGCAACCCCUAUCCUAUGUUGCCAGCACGUGAUGGUGGGGACUCAUGGGAGACUGCCGGGGUCAACUCGGAGGAAGGUGGGGACGACGUCAAAUCAUCAUGCCCCUUAUGUCUUGGGCUUCACGCAUGCUACAAUGGCCGGUACAAUGGGUUGCGAUACUGUGAGGUGGAGCUAAUCCCUAAAAGCCGGUCUCAGUUCGGAUCGAAGUCUGCAACUCGACUUCGUGAAGUUGGAGUCGCUAGUAAUCGCAGAUCAGCAACGCUGCGGUGAAUACGUUCCCGGGCCUUGUACACACCGCCCGUCAAGUCACGAAAGUUGGUAACACCCGAAGCCGGUGCCUAACCC
rnacentral:rRNA from 1 species